GUGUAUCUACUUAUUUGACCAGUCUUUAUUUUUAAAAUGGAGUCUAUCAUAAAUACUUAAAAAUGACUUUCCUUUUAAAUCUAUGCUAUGUUAUUUCUCAAAGCUUUUCCCCCAUACAGUUAAAUCUGUCAUUCUUUUUCCCCUUGUAAUUUCUUAUAUUACAGAAAAACCAAACCAUAGCUGGCUCUUUGUAUUUGCUGAGAAUAUAUUUUAGAGUGCCCACACAGCAAGAGAGUCUAUGAUUAUUUCACUAAACCACACCAAGCCUCAUAAGGAAAUGAGGAUGAAGAUGUGCUCUUGCUGUCAAGUGGCUUGCGUGCUCAAGUGAGUGAUGUGUCCCUUGCACAUAAGCUACCUGUGUUAUUCCAACUGUCAUGAGGAGGUAACAGGCAUCAAGAAAGGACCCGGGAAACAAUGUGGAAAGUCUUUAGGAGAAAAAAAAGCACCAUCAUUAGACCUGUACUGCACCCAAUGUUUUGGAGAAUUUUUAGGAGGCUGAGUCAGACAGAACCAAGGGGCCUACAGCUGUGGUUAAUGCAGGCUUGUCAGCUCUUUUAUUUGGCUUGCUACAGAAACACUCCCAUCUCAGAGGAACCUUCUGGAGGCUUCAAGGACCCUCUCCUUGGGUUCCAGUGUGCAAGUAUGGAUUUAGAAAGUGGAGUUUGCUGAAGUUGUGUUGAUAACUUCCCUACUGUUUCUGCUGAAGCCUUCUGUUAAUCCCAGGAUUCACAUAGGACCCCCUGAAUUCUUUCUGGUAAGAAAAAAUUUGGUCAGGUGUGGUGGCUCAUGCCUAUAAUCCUAGCACUUCGGAAGGCUGAGGCAUGAGGAUCAUUUGAGGCCAGGAGUUCAAGACAGCCUGGACAAUAUAGUGAGACCUCAUCUUUCUCUAAAAAACAAAGAAAGAAAGAAAAAAAGAACAACAACAAGAAGAAAAAGCCUGACAUGGUGGUGCACACCUGUAGUCCCAGCUACUCAGGAGCCUGAGGAGGGAGUAUUGCUUGAACGCAGGAGGUCAAGGCUGCAGUGAGCCAUGAUUGUGCCACUGCACUCUAGCCUGGCAACAGAGCACGACCCUGUCUCAAAAAAAAAAGAAAGAAAGAGAGAGAGAGAGAGAAAGAAAGAAGAAAGGAAAGAAGAAAGAAUGAAAAAGAAAGAAAAGAGCAGGGAGGGGAAAGGAGGGGAGUGAGGAAGGAAGGAAGGGAGGGAGGGAGAAAAAUUCCCCUCCACCUCCAUGCUCUGGAAGAAAUAGGACCUGGCACCCGCAUUUGGGAUCUGUAACGAGCAUACUUAUGUUCAAAUUCAGGUUCAGGAUUCAGCUUACUCUCUUAGUGAGACAAGAUAAAAGAACCAAGAUGGAGGGAAAAAAUUCAUGUGGGCAGUCACAUCUUCACUUAUCUUUAUGUAUUUUAAAAAUAGGCUGGGCAUGGUGGCUCACACUUGUAAUCGCAGCACUUUGGGAGGCCAAGGCAGGUGAUCAGGAUGUCAGAAGAUUGAGACCAUCCUGGCCAACAUGGUGAAACCCUGCCUCACUAAAAAUACAAAAAAUUAGCCGGGCAUGGUGGUGCACUCCUAUAGUCCUAGCUACUUGAGAAGCUGAGGCAGGGGAAUCGCUUGAACCUGGGAGGCGGAGAUUGCAGUGAGCCGAGAUUGCGUCACUGCACUCUAGCUUAAUGACACAGCAAGACUUUGUCUCAAAAAAAAGGAAAAAGGAAAAAAAUAGUUAUCUUUGUUUCCAGAACUUACAUUCUUUUAGUCUGCUGUAGGGCUCUCGCAUGAAUCCUGUGUGCAAAAUAUACAUGAUGGGGAGACUGCCUACAGCACUAGGAAGUCACCUUAAGAGAUUUAAAGGAAAGGUAGACCCUAGGCUUUCUGAGACCUUAAUCAUCACUUAUGGCAGGGGUACUGAUGUGUUUGAGAAACAGCAGGCUGCUACUGCCAAACAAGAUGAAAUUUAUAAGCAAAUGGGGCAUUUCUAUGACAGUGUCAAACACUGGGCAUAUUAAGUGUAUUGUUAACCAUAGAAUCUCAGAGGCCUUAGUCAAGCCUCUUCUUCCUUCUGUCUGCUCCCCAGACUGCACUUAGUCCUUUAUGCAAUAUGUAUUUAUUUGAGGAGAAAGCACUCCAAAAGCCCACAGAGUCUGGGUAUCCAUUUUAGCUUCUUGAAUUUAGCGUUAAAUAUGUAAUUUGUUUGUUCAGGCAUGAUCUUUGAUGGGGGUAUUUACCUUGCCUGUGAAAUGUUUGGAGGUAGGAGGUGCCGUCACAGGUCAAUUAGCCCCUGUCUCUUUUCCAGUAAAGGAAUCCCCUGUGUAUAAGGUUUGUUCAAGGUCAAGAAACAAAAAACCUAACUAAACGUAGCCCAAACAAUAAAGGGAUUAUUUGACUUUUGUAACUUGAAGAGCAGUAGUAGUGUGGUGGGCUUCAGGGCUGGUUUGAUCCAGUGGCUUGGUGAAGAAAAGAAGAACGGCGUUUCUUGCUAUCCUUGUGUUCUGACUCCACCCUCUCUGAAAGCUUUGUCUUAAAUCUGGUCUCCCAGGUUUAAUUCUUAUUGCAUUAGAAGAAACUUCCUAAAUGGAUGACAGUGGUAACUGGUAGACAGCAAACUCCUUGGGAGCAGGCAACAUUUUUAUAUGACUUUGUAUCCGAGCACUUAGCAUCUGGGAGCUAGCAGAUGCUCAAUAACUGUUGAAGUGAAGAAGAAAAGAAUGAAGAAAGGAAACUGAGAAUCUCUGUUUGUUCCUUUGCCUAGAGGGACUAUUUCUAGCUUUUUUUUUUUUUUGCCAUUUAACAUAAUGUUGGCUUUUGUUUUAAAGUGGACACUCUUUAAAGUGUUAAAAAAGUGCUAUCAAUAUUUAU
rnacentral:lncRNA from 1 species